GAUGAACGCUGGCGGCGUGCCUAAUACAUGCAAGUCGAGCGAACAGACGAGGAGCUUGCUCCUCUGACGUUAGCGGCGGACGGGUGGGUAACACGUGGAUAACCUACCUAUAAGACUGGGAUAACUUCGGGAAACCGGAGCUAAUACCGGAUAAUAUAUUGAACCGCAUGGUUCAAUAGUGAAAGACGGUUUUGCUGUCACUUAUAGAUGGAUCCGCGCCGCAUUAGCUAGUUGGUAAGGUAACGGCUUACCAAGGCAACGAUGCGUAGCCGGCCUGAGAGGGUGAUCGGCCACACUGGAACUGAGACACGGUCCAGACUCCUACGGGAGGCAGCAGUAGGGAAUCUUCCGCAAUGGGCGAAAGCCUGACGGAGCAACGCCGCGUGAGUGAUGAAGGUCUUCGGAUCGUAAAACUCUGUUAUUAGGGAAGAACAAAUGUGUAAGUAACUAUGCACGUCUUGACGGUACCUAAUCAGAAAGCCACGGCUAACUACGUG
rnacentral:rRNA from 1 species